CUGCCAUUCUCACUCAACGUCGGUCCGAGUCGGUGUGUCUUUGUGAUAUCUGGUGUCAUAUUUCCUCUGACCAAAAUGCUCAAAGUCUCUUUCUUGCUUCUCGUGGCUGCUAGCUGUUGCCUUGCCAAGGACAUCAUCUUCACACAGAAACACAAGAAACUGAAUAUGACCGUGGCUGUCAAGGCAGAUGAAGAAGUGCAUUGCGCCGGCUGGGUGGCCGCCGACGGCGACGUCGAACAGUCUACCCCUUCCGGAUGCUUCAACGUCAUACACGCGGAGACCGGAAAGUACGAAAUCCAUUUUGCAACGGCAAUGACUGCUCCACCUGUCUGCGUCGUUUCACCAUAUUACGAGAGUUCGGAUGCAAACACCGUAACAAACGCCGGCGCCACACACAUUGGUAAAAAGGAAUUCUAUUACUCCACCGGAGGCUAUUACGGUAAUCUUGAAGACUCGAGCGCUACCUUCAUCUGCUUUCUGAUUGAGGAAUGAAGGAUGAGCAACAUACUUGACGAAAACGGUGAUUGUGCAAGUGUGUCACAAACCUUCAGUAAGACAUAAUUGUGCUGCGUUGGUGCUUGGUCUAGACUUCAGAAACCAGAAAUAUUGAUGUUGAUGCUGUCACGUAUAUGCCUAGAGCUAUAGAUAUGUUACGUUGUCUUCCAAAUGUUUCGAUCAAAAUUGAAUUAUUGUAAC